GAUGAACGCUGACAGAAUGCUUAAUACAUGCAAGUCAACUUGAAUUUGGGUUUUUAACUUAGGUUUGGGUGGCGGACGGGUGAGUAACGCGUAAAGAACUUGCCUCACAGCUAGGGACAACAUUUGGAAACGAAUGCUAAUACCUAAUAUUAUGAUAAUAGGGCAUCCUAUAAUUAUGAAAGCUAUAAGCGCUGUGAGAGAGCUUUGCGUCCCAUUAGCUAGUUGGAGAGGUAACGGCUCACCAAGGCGAUGAUGGGUAGCCGGCCUGAGAGGGUGAUCGGCCACAAGGGGACUGAGACACGGCCCUUACUCCUACGGGAGGCAGCAGUGGGGAAUAUUGGACAAUGGACCAAGAGUCUGAUCCAGCAAUUCUGUGUGCACGAUGAAGUUUUUCGGAAUGUAAAGUGCUUUCAGUUGGGAAGAAAGAAAUGACGGUACCAACAGAAGAAGUGACGGCUAAAUACGUG
rnacentral:rRNA from 1 species